GUUUGAUCAUGGCUCAGAUUGAACGCUGGCGGCAGGCCUAACACAUGCAAGUCGAGCGGAUGAAAGGGGCUUGCUCCUGGAUUCAGCGGCGGACGGGUGAGUAAUGCGCAGGAAUCUACCUCGUAGUGGGGGAUAACGUCUCGAAAGGGGCGCUAAUACCGCAUACGUUCUGAGGAAGAAAGCAGGGGACCUUCGGGCCUUGCGCUAUGAGAUGAGCUUGCGUCCGAUUAGCUAGUUGGUGGGGUAAAGGCCUACCAAGGCGACGAUCGGUAACUGGUCUGAGAGGAUGAUCAGUCACACUGGAACUGAGACACGGUCCAGACUCCUACGGGAGGCAGCAGUGGGGAAUAUUGGACAAUGGGGGCAACCCUGAUCCAGCCAUGCCGCGUGUGUGAAGAAGGCCCUCGGGUUGUAAAGCACUUUAAGCGAGGAGGAAGGUCAUCAUACUAAUAUUAUGAUGAAUUGACGUUACUCGCAGAAUAAGCACCGGCUAACUCUGUGCCAGCAGCCGCGGUAAUACAGAGGGUGCAAGCGUUAAUCGGAAUUACUGGGCGUAAAGCGAACGUAGGCGGUUACCUAAGUCGGAUGUGAAAUCCCCGGGCUCAACCUGGGAAUUGCAUUCGAGACUGGAUAGCUAGAAUGCGGAAGAGGGAAGCGGAAUUUCCGGUGUAGCGGUGAAAUGCGUAGAUAUCGGAAGGAACAUCAGUGGCGAAGGCGACACCCUGGACCGAUACUGACACUGAGGCGCGAAAGCGUGGGUAGCGAACAGGAUUAGAUACCCUGGUAGUCCACGCCGUAAACGAUGUCUGCUAGCCGUUGGGACCCUUGAGGUUUCGGUGGCGCAGCUAACGCGAUAAGUUGACCGCCUGGGGAGUACGGCCGCAAGGUUAAAACUCAAAUGAAUUGACGGGGGCCCGCACAAGCGGUGGAGUAUGUGGUUUAAUUCGACGCAACGCGAAAAACCUUACCCGGUCUUGACAUCCUGGGAACCCUUUAGAGAUAGAGGGGUGCCGCAAGGAGCCCAGAGACAGGUGCUGCAUGGCUGUCGUCAGCUCGUGUCGUGAGAUGUUGGGUU
rnacentral:rRNA from 1 species